UACGUAGGGUGCAAGCGUUGUCCGGAAUUAUUGGGCGUAAAGAGCUUGUAGGCGGUUUGUCGCGUCUGCUGUGAAAUUUCGGGGCUCAACCCCGAACUUGCAGUGGGUACGGGCAGACUAGAGUGUGGUAGGGGAGACUGGAAUUCCUGGUGUAGCGGUGAAAUGCGCAGAUAUCAGGAGGAACACCGAUGGCGAAGGCAGGUCUCUGGGCCACUACUGACGCUGAGAAGCGAAGGCAUGGGGAGCGAACAGG
rnacentral:rRNA from 1 species